ACGUAGGUGGCAAGCGUUGUCCGGAAUUAUUGGGCGUAAAGCGCGCGCAGGCGGUCUCUUAAGUCUGAUGUGAAAGCCCACGGCUCAACCGUGGAGGGUCAUUGGAAACUGGGAGACUUGAGUGCAGAAGAGGAGAGUGGAAUUCCAUGUGUAGCGGUGAAAUGCGUAGAUAUAUGGAGGAACACCAGUGGCGAAGGCGACUCUCUGGUCUGUAACUGACGCUGAGGCGCGAAAGCGUGGGGAGCAAACAGG
rnacentral:rRNA from 1 species